UGAACGCUAGCGGGAUGCCUUACACAUGCAAGUCGAACGGCAGCACGGACUUCGGUCUGGUGGCGAGUGGCGAACGGGUGAGUAAUGUAUCGGAACGUGCCCAGUAGCGGGGGAUAACUACGCGAAAGCGUAGCUAAUACCGCAUACGCCCUACGGGGGAAAGCAGGGGAUCGYAAGACCUUGCACUAUUGGAGCGGCCGAUAUCGGAUUAGCUAGUUGGUGGGGUAACGGCUCACCAAGGCGACGAUCCGUAGCUGGUUUGAGAGGACGACCAGCCACACUGGGACUGAGACACGGCCCAGACUCCUACGGGAGGCAGCAGUGGGGAAUUUUGGACAAUGGGGGAAACCCUGAUCCAGCCAUCCCGCGUGUGCGAUGAAGGCCUUCGGGUUGUAAAGCACUUUUGGCAGGAAAGAAACGUCAUGGGUUAAUACCCCGUGAAA
rnacentral:rRNA from 2 species